rnacentral:rRNA from 1 species
GCCGGAUGCCUAGCCUUACCACAAUAGUUAUAUAAACAAAACUAUUCGCCAGAGUACUACCGGCAAUAGCUUAAAACUCAAAGGACUUGGCGGUGCUUUAUACCCUUCUAGAGGAGCCUGUUCUAUAAUCGAUAAACCCCGAUAAACCUCACCAUUCCUUGCUACUACAGUCUAUAUACCGCCAUCUUCAGCAAACCCUAAAAAGGUACAAAAGUAAGCACAAUCAUAAUACAUAAAAACGUUAGGUCAAGGUGUAACCUAUGGAACGGAAAAAAAUGGGCUACAUUUUCUAAUCUAAGAAAAUCCAACACGAAAGUUAUUAUGAAACUAGUAACCAAAGGAGGAUUUAGCAGUAAACUAAGAAUAGAGUGCUUAGUUGAAUUAGGCCAUGAAGCACGCACACCCCCC